rnacentral:rRNA from 1 species
CAGCAGCCACGGUAAUACGGAGGGGGCUAGCGUUGUUCGGAAUUACUGGGCGUAAAGCGUACGCAGGCGGUUUGUUAAGUCAGAUGUGAAAUCCCCGAGCUUAACUCGGGAACUGCAUUUGAAACUGGCAGGCUAGAGUCUCGUAGAGGGGGGUAGAAUUCCAGGUGUAGCGGUGAAAUGCGUAGAGAUCUGGAGGAAUACCGGUGGCGAAGGCGGCCCCCUGGACGAAGACUGACGCUCAGGUACGAAAGCGUGGGGAGCAAACAGGAUUAGAUACCCGCGUAGUCCCUGUCUCUUAUAC